UUAAUUUCAAGUUAUCAGCCAAUAAUCAAAGAUUUCAAUGGACAGCAAACAAAGCUUAUGGAUAUCAUCAUAGAAGAUUUGGAGUAAUAUUUAUUAUACUUUCAAUUAUGUUAAUUGCAUAAAUAAAAUACCUCAAUAUAUGUGAAUGACUAACCUAAAUUGUAUUUAAUUGCAGGGGAAAGACUAUGACAUGCACACUUUGGGAACAGUAUGCAGAUAAAAUGCAUGAAUAUCUGUGCACAGAACCAAAAAUGCCAAUAUGUAUCAUAGUACAAUUAUGUCGCCCAUCUAUAUUCAGAGGUGAAGUUUGCAUAUCAAGUUCAUAUCAUGUGUCAAACAUACUUUUUGAUGAAAACAUUGUUGAAAUCAAGAAGAUGAAGGACAAGUAAGUAUUUUAAACAAUAAAAAUUAAUUGCAUCGGCAUACAUUAUUGUUCACAUUAUUUCCAAUUGCAGUUUUAUCAAACUUCACAAGGAAAGAUCAAUCAAUCUCAAGUUAUUGGCAGCACCAACAAUUAGAACAAUUGAAGAUGAAAUAAAUGAAGGCAGUGCAAAAUUCAUGGCUAUUUCAGAGUUGACUGGUCAACAGAGGGGAAUGUACUGGAUAUAUGGCACAAUAUGUUCUGUAUCAAUGCUUCGAGCUUGGGCUUACUUAGCAUGCAACAUAUGCCUAAAAAAACUGAAAGCAAAUGAUGAUAAUUUUUUUUGUGACAACUGUGCAAGCUUUGAUGUUUCAGGAAAAAUGAGGUAUAGACUAAGAGUAUAUGUUGCUGAUAAUUCUGGAGGUGUUUCUUUAAGCUUAUGGGAUAGGGAGUGCUUACAACUAAUUGGGAAACCUGGUGAAGAAAUAAUAUAUGUAAGUGAAUGCAAAAUAAAAUUAUAAAUAAAAUUAUGGAGAUAAUUCUAAAGUUAUUAAUUAAAAUUAAAAAUUUUGCAGGAUCCUAAUAGCAAUGAGUUGCCAAUUGAGAUAGAUGCUAUCACCAACAAAAAUGCUCUAUUUAAAAUUAAAGUUGAAGAAUCAACGAUUUUUGAUGGAGCAUAUGUUGUGACAAAAAUCAACUGCGACCCAAAUAUUUUAAAUAAAUAUUGUGGGUCAAUAGUUGAAAGUGAGACCAAGGAAACUCAAUUGAAAGACAAAGAAAUUGAAAACAUCAAGGUUCAAAAUGAUGGUGGGAGUAGCAGCUUUACCAAUGUACAUGAAUCAGUGAACAUCAGUGACAAUGAGGCAACAAAGAGACAACUCGAAGAAGAAACAUCAACUGACCCAAAACUCGUGAAUAAAAGAGGGAAGAGAGUUGUGAUCAAGAAGGAGAAGCCCUAAAGUAGCAUUUAGUUUUAUGAUGUUUUAGUAAUUAGUACUUUAGGAUUUGCACUUUUAAA